rnacentral:rRNA from 1 species
AGUGCAGGCGGUUUUUUAAGUCUGAUGUGAAAGCCUUCGGCUUAACCGAAGAAAUGCAUUGGAAACUGGGAAACUUGAGUGCAGAAGAGGAGAGUGGAACUCCAUGUGUAGCGGUGAAAUGCGUAGAUAUAUGGAAGAACACCAGUGGCGAAGGCGGCUCUCUAGUCUGUAACUGACGCUGAGGCUGAAAGCGUGGGUAGCAAACA